rnacentral:lncRNA from 1 species
CAGUGGGAGAGGACUCAAAAACUCCUGAGAGAAGUCAUUGUACUCAAAUGUGUUUUUAUCAGUUAGUUUCUACAAGUUAUAGUUCACAUCUACGUCUUUAGCUGAGUGAUGGUUUGUGAAGUCACAACAAAAACCCUCCUUCAGACCAGGAGGGUCCAUGUUGGAGAACUUCCUGAAAACCUGGUUUCCUUAAUGAAGGUAAAACUCACUGAAAAUCCACACAACUCAUUCAUCUGGGGGGAAAUUAGCUGUUAGCAUGCUCUCUGUCUGGAUUGAAAACUUAGUAUUUAAACUCACACCGGCUUCAUUUUACUAGAGAUUAUGUUAUCCAGUAUGAUUAUGUUAACUCAGAAACUCAGAGCUACUCAAGUAGGCCUACAACAAGCUUAGACAGAAUCCAAGAUGGCUGCUCCCUUUGUAAGUAGUAGCAAAGCAGUACCUCUAAAAGUGUUUGUGAACAACUUAGUCUUAUUUUGAGUAAUUUAAUCAAUCAGACACAAAUAGUAUUCUUCAGGUUUUAUCCAGGGACAUGCUGUUGUGUUGCUUUAACCUUCAAACUGUGUUUAAGUGUGUUUUUAUUAGCUAGACUUGGCUAACAGUGCUAACAGCAACAGGAGCUAGCCAAAAAGCUAAACAGUUGAAUGUGGUUAAACAAAAGCAGAGUGACCAUACGUCCUCUUUUACCUGGACAUGUUUUCUUUUUGGGGAGCUGUCUGGCUUUGUCGGGGGAAGUUUAUAAAAUCCUUCAAAUGUUCAAGGUUUUGUACGUAAGUUUCGAUUUUGUGUCACGUGGACUUACUGAGUUAGCGUAAAAGACACUCGAUCUGACCCGAAAAAAAAAAAACUCUUAAAAUUAACUACGCGUGACUCCGCCCCUGUGUAGUCGUGUCGUCUUUUUGGGAAGUCAGAAUAUGUUCACCCUAAAAAAAGUUAAGUGAGCCGCAAAAUAUGUAAAGUGUUUACUGGAUACAUUUCUGUUUUAUCAUUUUUGAGAUGUGGUUUUUAAUUUGAUAUUUUUCUUGAUCGUUCUCUGACGAGUUACUUUAGCGCCAAAACAAACCCUCUUUGUUUAGGUUCAAUUAGGCUGACACUUGACUGGAAAAACACCAAGCGUAUCUCUGAUUUAAAACAUCUUUACUAUUCAUGAUCGAUGAGAAGAUUAAAACUGAGACUGAGCACCAACAACAAGUCAGCCGCCUUCAAACGCUGUACGAGACUUGAGCAAAGUAUGGAUCCAGAGUCCAUCAGAGUUCCGGACUCGGACCUGCAGCCAGUGUGUCACUGAACAAAUGUUUUAAUGCUUUUUAUCAGAUUAGUGCACUCACAGAGCAGCAGGCCGGUCGAUGAUCCACUCGGCCUGAUGGGUAAUAGCAUUAUCCUGUGUGGGCCGGGAUUGGCAGACACCAGCGGACAGACCUAUCUUACCAUUGAUCGACUUUUCCCUUCAGGGCCGCUCUGAUGCUCGCCUCCAUCCGCUGUUUCAUUUGUUUAUGAAAUAUUGAUAUUGGCUGCUAUCUGCUCUCAGAGACGAGGAGGUUCAGCCUGAUGGACGGAGGGCGUGUGUCGGAUACUGGAAGAGGUUUCAUUUGAGGUUGAAAGUUUUUCUUUAUCAUGGGGAAAUGUAAUCAGUUUAUUAUUUCUGCAAUUAAAUCACGAUUUAUUCUUUAAUUUGUCAUUUGAUAACAAGCUCUGUGAGGCUGCAGUAUGAAGCAACAGCGAAAAGAGGGAAAUAUCUGUGCAGGUUUUUAAUACAUCUCAAGGAAAUGGCAAAAAUAAUCAAUUUAAACAGUUUGAAUCUCAUUUUCUACAUUUUUUCUGUCUUUCAAAGCUUCAACAUGUAUAAAAAAGCCUUAAAUGUCUAACUGAAUACAUAUUUCCUUGUGAAAAAGGCUCCAAAUGAUUAAUUUUUACACACAUUAUUGAACAAAAAGGUACAAACCUGCAGAUCAUUCCUUCGAUUAGUCCUGUCUACUAGAAAUCAUGAUUUGCUUUUCGGAUGUGUUUGUUAAUAGCGCCCUCUGUCUGCAAACCCCCUCUGGUACCAUUUUUUUCAUCAGAUUUCACUCUUUCCCUCAGAAAACCUAACUCUAACCUUCACUCGACCGCUAAACAAGCAAACUGGGGCUCCUGCGGCAUCAGAUGGAUCAUCUCGUCAGUAAACAGAAGCUCCAGUCUUCCCAUAAUGACAGUCAGGAUUGACGGGCUACCUCAGCUAAAGCCUUUCAUGCAGGAGAAGAGCCUCCUGGAUCAAUAGCUGUUACCUCGGCAAAGCCCACACAACCACUAAUGAAUCCUCUGGCUCACAAAACCCACUGCUGCUCCCGUUUAAGUCCACAUGAGAGAAAUGCUUCACACAU